rnacentral:rRNA from 1 species
UUCGCCCUUAGAGUUUGAUCCUGGCUCAGGAUGAACGCUAGCUACAGGCUUAACACAUGCAAGUCGAGGGGAAACGACAUCGAAAGCUUGCUUUUGAUGGGCGUCGACCGGCGCACGGGUGAGUAACGCGUAUCCAACCUGCCCACCACUUGGGGAUAACCUUGCGAAAGUAAGACUAAUACCCAAUGACGUCUCUAGAAGACAUCUGAAAGAGAUUAAAGAUUUAUCGGUGAUGGAUGGGGAUGCGUCUGAUUAGCUUGUUGGCGGGGUAACGGCCCACCAAGGCGACGAUCAGUAGGGGUUCUGAGAGGAAGGUCCCCCACAUUGGAACUGAGACACGGUCCAAACUCCUACGGGAGGCAGCAGUGAGGAAUAUUGGUCAAUGGACGAGAGUCUGAACCAGCCAAGUAGCGUGCAGGAUGACGGCCCUAUGGGUUGUAAACUGCUUUUAUAAGGGAAUAAAGUGAGUCUCGUGAGACUUUUUGCAUGUACCUUAUGAAUAAGGACCGGCUAAUUCCGUGCCAGCAGCCGCGGUAAUACGGAAGGUCCGGGCGUUAUCCGGAUUUAUUGGGUUUAAAGGGAGCGUAGGCCGGAGAUUAAGCGUGUUGUGAAAUGUAGACGCUCAACGUCUGCACUGCAGCGCGAACUGGUUUCCUUGAGUACGCACAAAGUGGGCGGAAUUCGUGGUGUAGCGGUGAAAUGCUUAGAUAUCACGAAGAACUCCGAUUGCGAAGGCAGCUCACUGGAGCGCAACUGACGCUGAAGCUCGAAAGUGCGGGUAUCGAACAGGAUUAGAUACCCUGGUAGUCCGCACGGUAAACGAUGGAUGCCCGCUGUUGGUCUGAAUAGGUCAGCGGCCAAGCGAAAGCAUUAAGCAUCCCACCUGGGGAGUACGCCGGCAACGGUGAAACUCAAAUGAAUUGAC